UACGUAGGGUGCGAGCGUUGUCCGGAAUUAUUGGACGUAAAGGGCUCGUAGGCGGUUUGUCACGUCGGGAGUGAAAACACCGGGCUUAACUCGGCGCUUGCUUCCGAUACGGGCAGACUAGAGGCAUGCAGGGGAGAACGGAAUUCCUGGUGUAGCGGUGAAAUGCGCAGAUAUCAGGAGGAACACCGGUGGCGAAGGCGGUUCUCUGGGCAUGUCCUGACGCUGAGGAGCGAAAGUGUGGGGAGCGAACAGG
rnacentral:rRNA from 1 species